rnacentral:tRNA from 1 species
GCCUGCCUAGCUCAAUUGGAAAGAGCAUCAGACUCAAAUCGAAAAGUCCGAAUCGGACAUCUGAAGGCUGCAAGUUCGAACCUUGCGGUGGGCA